GACAGAGGUGCCAAGCGUUAGGCGGAAUCACUGGGCUUAAAGCGUGUGUAGGCGGUUGUCUAAGUACCUUGUGAAAUCCCACGGCUCAACCGUGGAACUGCUUGGUAUACUGGAUGUCUUGAGCCAUCUAGGGGCUACCGGAACAAAUGGUGGAGCGGUGAAAUGCGUAGAUAUCAUUUGGAACGCCAAUGGUGAAAACAGGUAGCUGGGGAUGUGCUGACGCUGAGGUGCGAAAGCGUGGGGAGCAAACAGG
rnacentral:rRNA from 1 species